GCUCAGACGGUAAAGCAUCUGCCUACAAUGCAGGAGACCCGGGUUCGAUCCCUGG
rnacentral:tRNA from 1 species